CCAUGUACUGAUCUCAGGCUAGCAGGCUACUGAGCCAGUGACCUCACAAAGGUCUGUCUUUCAACAUAGAAGCAGCAAAUUGACACAAUACCAGCAACGCUGAAACCAGGAUGUUAACUCCUGCUUGAACUGCAAGACCAAUAGAAAAGGAGUGUUAGGGCUGAGGUGGGGCAGAGAUUAAACAUCAUUCUCUCCCCCCCACCCAUCUCAACCAGCUCUGUGUAGCUGUCCAUGCAUUGUUGCCUCUUCCAAUGGAAGAAUACACAGGAAAGUCCAUGAAGAGAGUUUCUCUUUGUUUCCUGCCCCUGCAGGAUUAUUAAGCCCAUGACCGCUGUAAUUUCCAUUGUUCACAGAAUAAAUCUACGGCUACAUCACCCAAAAACUGUGGGGGAAGAGGAUGAGUUUUGCCUACAAGCUAAGAUGUACAGCAACCCAGCAUGUUCCCUCCAAGUCAGGAAAAUAGCCCCAGAGCUAUAACUUCUUUUGUGCGGGCAAGGCACUGCAUCUAUAGACGUAACAAGUGGAGUGGCAGAAAGACUACACUACAGGUAGAAACAGAUAUAAAGAGCAAAAACAUGCAGUAAUCUGUGGUAGGUGUGGAGAGCUGAAACAAUAUUUCCGAGAAACUCAUUACCUCUCAUUUGUAACGAUGCAGAAAUUCCUUAUGUAGGAGAACUGAAAUCACUGUGCUGUGCUGGGGGCACACGGUGCAGACAGUGAAUGCAAGACGUACACAUCUCACAUAUGCCUUGGAAUAACUGUAUGGAUGGGUGGAUCAGGGAAGCAGCUGGGCAUAAGGAAUGGUGUGGAAUCCAGCGUCAUUCAAUGCCCAGGAUAGAUAACGCUCACUGAAUGAAGCCUCAAUUGCUGCAAAAGUUGGGAGGUGCCUAGCAAAUGAGGCAGGAGAUUGCAGGAAGUGAAGACAUGGCCUUGCAGUUCAUGCACUGGAUUGGGACAUAGGAGAAUAAUCACUCAGGAGAGUUACUUGUUCACAAUUCUCU